GCGGGGGUGCCCGAGCUAGGACAAAGGGGGCGGACUUAAGAUCCGCUGGCGUAGGCCUGCGUGGGUUCAAAUCCCACCCCCCGCACCA
rnacentral:tRNA from 1 species